UACGUAGGAGGCUAGCGUUGUCCGGAUUUAUUGGGCGUAAAGAGCGUGUAGGCGGCCAGAUAGGUCUGCUGUGAAAACUCGAGGCUCAACCUCGAGCUGUCGGCGGAAACCAUUUGGCUAGAGUCCGGAAGAGGAGAGUGGAAUUCCUGGUGUAGCGGUGAAAUGCGCAGAUAUCAGGAAGAACACCUAUGGCGAAGGCAGCUCUCUGGGACGGUACUGACGCUGAGACGCGAAAGCGUGGGGAGCGAACAGG
rnacentral:rRNA from 1 species